CCUACGGGCGCAGCAGUGGGGAAUAUUGGACAAUGGGCGAAAGCCUGAUCCAGCCAUGCCGCGUGUGUGAAGAAGGCCUUCGGGUUGUAAAGCACUUUCAGUGGGGAAGAAAGCCUUGGGGCUAAUACCCUCGAGGAAGGACAUCACCCACAGAAGAAGCACCGGCUAACUCCGUGCCAGCAGCCGCGGUAAUACGGAGGGUGCGAGCGUUAAUCGGAAUUACUGGGCGUAAAGCGCGCGUAGGCGGUCUGAUAAGCCGGUUGUGAAAGCCCCGGGCUCAACCUGGGAACGGCAUCCGGAACUGUCAGGCUAGAGUGCAGGAGAGGAAGGUAGAAUUCCCGGUGUAGCGGUGAAAUGCGUAGAGAUCGGGAGGAAUACCAGUGGCGAAGGCGGCCUUCUGGACUGACACUGACGCUGAGGUGCGAAAGCGUGGGUAGCAAACAGGAUUAGAUACCCGGGUAGUC
rnacentral:rRNA from 1 species